CAAAGGCUAGACUGGGAUGUGCCAUGGCAGGUGAAAAUUUAUCCACAUUAUCAUUAAUGAUAGAGGAUGUUAUGAGAAUAAGACUUGUAGAACAGUUGAGUUUUGUAUACAGAUGUUUACUACAUAUCUUGGAGCUCUGAUUAUGUGUUCAGUUGUGCUGGAGAUGAUGUGUAACAUGGUGUCUGUUUUGUUUUGGGAACAUUCUUUCAAAUUAGACUUGUUGUCAUGCAGGAUUUUAAUAUAAUGUACUGUAUAAGACAGUGACUUUGGAAAAGUUUGGUUGUCAAAAAUAACAUUAGUUAUUGUCAUACUGAGUAAGAGUAAUUUCCUCAUGUGUUGUUAAAUUUGGUUUGAGUUGCCCUAUCAAAGAUAGACUACAAUGCAUUAUGGAUGUGUUCAGGAGCAGUAAAAGCUACACUGUAAAACCCAGUGGUGCUUCUUACUAAAAAGAAGUUAGUUAUUUGUACUCAUUUCAGCUAAAUAGUAAGAGUAACUUUUAUAAAUUGAGUUGAGUAGAUCCAAAACAAACAGUUUCAUUUUCUAAAUCAUUUACAAUAAGUACACAUAUGCUUAUCAUUUAUUUUGAGAAUUGUUGCUUUGAACUGUUCAAGUUGUGAUCACUGUGAUGACUGGGACUAUUUUUCCUGGACUUAUCGGCCAUUAGAGGAAAGUUUCAACAAAGAAUUUUAGCAACUUCAGUGUGAAAAUUACGAGGUAAGCCUUUUUUCUUUAAUUCUAUUAAAUGUUUAUAUAGAACUUGAAGGUGAAUUGAUUGAACUAUUUUGUUAAUUUGCAGAAAAAUGGGCCAUGCUAGCCCAGCUGCCGCCUAGCAUUGCUUAAAGUCGGCCUGGAUAAAUUUAAAAUAUAGCGAUUGGCGGCUUAUAUGGGAAAAUAGUAUUUCAAAACUACAUAGCAUACAACAUCAUGGUAAAAUAGAGUUUAAUCAUUUUAACUACAGUUUUUCACUUCUACACCCAGCAUAUGAUGCAAUAUUUUUUUCAUGUUUUUUGCUAACUCUCCUCAGCUCUACUGCUAAUUUCACUGGAUUACCAGUCAGCAUGGCUGUAUAUCUUUCUCAGCUGAUUCGAGUUUACACAAAGAAGAAAACUGGAGGAGCUGAUGAAAAUAUGGACCAUAUUUAUGCAAAAUAGGACAAAAACCACAUGCAUGCAAAAAGAGGAGCAUCCCUGGCUGGCCUUUUCAAUUCCCUUAUUCCCUUCAGGAAUUUUCAAAAUAUGCAAGGAUAUAAAGGAGUCCUAUGAAGAUGCAGUUGCUAUGGUGGCUGAUGUGGAUGAAGAAGAGGAUCCUGCAGGAGUUCCUUUCUCACCACACCAGAUGUUUUUUGUACUUGAGGAUCAAGUUGGAAAUACUUAUCACUUAUGAACAGACACACUGGUGUGUUUGUUUGGGCUAAUCUAUGUUGUGCAUCUGAGCUAUCCUGGAAAGUGUUGUAGAUUUUUUGAGUUCAUUCAUUUAGUGUUGCAUUAUUACUGUUGCCAUGGAUAAAUGUUGAAUCCUUGUAGUUCAGCUAUAUUUGUAUUUGCUGUGGUGUACAUCAAUAUAUCAGAAUAUUGUGAACAAGUAAAAUAAUAAUCAAAAUGCAUCUUCUGUGAUUGCUAUGACUCAUGACAAAUAAAAUAAUUUGCUUUUAAAAGAUUGAAAUUAUUCUGACUUUGUACAGCAUUCUAAUUUAUUGAUGUAAACCUAAAUCAAUGUUUCUAAAAGCAGUUAGCAAUUUGAAUAAAAUUACAAAUAACUAAGUACCUUUAAGGUGUCAGCUUUAAAAGACCAAUCUUUGAUAUUUGAUAAUGGCUUUUAUAGUCAUGAUUUAUGUUUGAAGCUACAGUUUUGAGUUAAUAAAAACUGAAUGG